rnacentral:misc_RNA from 1 species
AACUGAUACUACCUGCGGGAACCUGCGGAGGGAUCAUUAGAGAAUCAUUGAUGCGGUUUGGCAUUUUUUGCCACUUCCGUGUCAACCCCACUCUAUUUCACCCCUUGUGAACUGUUGGAUCGGUCGGAGGGGAUGUGUUUCUGCAUGUUUUCUCUGGUCGAGGGUGAUUGCAAAGUCGAUUCGUUGAUUUUGCCACCCGAAUCACCCUUUUGGAAACCCAUUGUGUGUUGAAUGGCACGC